CCCCCCCUUCAUUCUUCCCUUCCUGCUAUCUUCUUCUUUUUUUUUUUUUUUAACAUAUAAUGUAUUAUUCGUUUCAGAGGUACAGGUCUGUGAACUAGUGGUCUUUCUCUAACACAGAAGAAGGAGAGAAAUGAAUGAUGUGUAAGUGGUUGUACCACGGACUGUGUCAGCCUCAGAGGGUUCCAGGGGUUUCCCUUUAUGAGGUUCUUUAACAAUGAUCUUUACACAUGACCCAUAGAGUGCCAGAAACUUGGUUCAAGAAGGGAGUCAUUUGUCUCCUAGGGGUCAUGGAUCCUAUUUCCUACAAUCUCAGGAAAAUAACUGAAAUUUCUGGGAAGCACAUAGCUUGUAGUCAUGCACAAAUUUUGUAUGUUGGGCCAAUUGAAUCAAUACUCAGUAGUAUUGGGCUUCUAGAGUCAUGGAACUUCAUUCACAAUUAAAACUCAGUAGCAGGAGCCUGAAGUCUGAAAAUUUGCCUCUUGUGCUUUUAACUAUAGUUCUAGGACAGCAUAAAGUUAUGCACAUUUGUCAGGUAAAUGAAAGUAUUAGGAAAUCUCUUAAAGGGUAAUACAAAUAAACCAACCAUCCUUUCCUGAGGUGACCACCUCUCUUUUUAAUCAUACGAAAAACUAAAUCAUGGAACCUUGAGACACAACAUCAUAGAGUCUCUUAAUUAGUCACAGCUGUCAGGGCUCCUCCUCUAAUUGUGGGAUUUUUCUUUUCAUGUAGAUUUUUUUUUUCUUUUAUUAUUCCUCUUAGUUUGUGCCUACUUCAGCAUCCUCCAUGGCCAGUGCUUUCUGCCUCAGUUAUUAAGUUGGCUUUCUCAAGAAGUGUUUUUCGUAUUUCUGAGAUUUCUGGAGAUGAAUCUGUACCCCUGAAGUGGAGACUUGGUGGUGAGAGCUUAUCAGGAUUGAAGCAGACCCAAAGCCUGUGCUGGAACUUAGGUAGCUGCCCACUCAGUGUGCACCACAGUCCCUUCCUCUCUCUUUUCCUUCCCUUGUUUCUGUUGGAGGUGUAAUGGUGAGGCAGAACCCACCACUCCUGGAAACAUCAUUUGACUUGAUUUUUCCAUACCAGAUUAAAGGUGACUAAUAAUUUGCCUCCUAUUUCUCAGGGUGGACAGGAAGAUCCUAUAUUAGUCAUCAUUGGGGCUUCUUUCCCUACCCAUUGUGAUCUGCAGGAUAUGCAGGGUUGUGAGAGGCCAGAAAACCUAGAGAUGGUGUUGGUCAUGGAUUCUGGUGCAUCUCUCUUCAUCUCUGCUCCUUCAGCCCCGUGAUGCUUUACUGAGGCUGUAGGAGCUCAUGCGGCCCCUCACAGACAUGUCUUGAAAGAAGUUGCUGUGGCUGCUGUUGAAGAGGUUACUGCCUAUGUUCUCCUCUAGGAUUUUAAUGGAUUCCUGUCUCACAUUGAGGAGCAGACAAUAAUACAGAGAUGGAAAACUUGAAGAUCUGAACAUUGCCAUCAAGCAACCAUCAACUGACCUAGAAUUUGACCGUGUAGUGAUUUAUACCACUUGCCUUCGUGUGGUACGGACAACCUUUGAAAGAUGUGAACUGGUUAGAAAGAUCUUCCAAAACCAUCGAGUAAAAUUUGAAGAGAAAAACAUAGCUCUGAAUGGUGACUAUGGAAAAGAGUUAGAUGAGCGAUGCCGACGUGUUUCAGAAGCCCCUUCCCUCCCUGUCGUGUUCAUCGAUGGCCAUUAUCUUGGGAGAGUGCAGCAUCCACAUGAGUGUCCCUCCUGUGGAGGCUUUGGCUUUCUUCCGUGCUCCGUCUGCCACGGGAGCAAGAUGUCAGUGUUUCGAAACUGCUUUACAGACUCUUUCAAAGCUUUGAAGUGUACGGCCUGC